rnacentral:rRNA from 1 species
UACGUAGGGACCGAGCGUUGUCCGGAAUCAUUGGGCGUAAAGAGCGUGUAGGCGGCUUGCUAAGUCUUGCGUGAAAUCUCGGGGCUCAACCCCGAGCGGUCGUGGGAAACUGGCAGGCUAGAGUGCGGGAGAGGAGAAUGGAAUUCCUGGUGUAGCGGUGAAAUGCGCAGAUAUCAGGAAGAACACCCGUGGCGAAGGCGGUUCUCUGGAACGCGACUGACGCUGAGACGCGAAAGCGUGGGGAGCAAACAGG